GAUACUUGAAGGAAGAAAGAUUGCUGGGUGUAAAUAACAAACGUGGAAGCGUAACAGAUCUGAGGAAGUUCAGGCCAGUGUGGUUGAAACGCAGAGACCAAACGGAAGAAGGCAAAGGAUGAGACUUACUAACCAGACACUGCCCAAAUCCUGCAAGGCCUUACAGACAUGGAGCUGUAACACUCACCGCGAAGGUCUGCAGCUUCACUCCUGAAGCCAGCGAGACCACGAACGCACCGGGAGGGAUGAACAACUCCGGACGGGAGGAACGAACAACUCCAGACGCGCCAUC
rnacentral:lncRNA from 10 species